AUGAGGUCCUCCAAAGAGCAAGUGGCUUUUGAUAACAUGGCAUGGGAUAGAAGAAAGUACAACUGCAGCCACUAUGGCAGAGCACAGGAAACCAGGGGUCAUUGCAGCACCGUUUGCAGGCCAAUUUCCCGAGAAGAUGAGCACACCACACCUCACAGCACAACCUAUCCUUUAGGUAAGUAUGCCUUUUGGGAGGGGAGAGGGAGGAGGGAAUUAAAGAGGCAAAUGAUACCGGGUUAACGUUUGCUGGUUUCAGCUACUGAAUUCUGGAACCUUAUUUUUGUACAUUUUAGUUACUUCACAGUCAGAGUACAGUGACAUCUUUUUCUCUAAGACAUCAGAGGCUACACCUAUACACCUGGCUACACCCAGCAGGGCUAGGACCUUUUCUGGAGCUAUGUGGGCAAAUGGCACAGCACAGCUCCUGUCCACAUGGCCAGACAAACCCCUGUUGUGUAACAGGAUGGGAACCAGCUGGUGGCCUCUGCUAUGCCCUGAGAUAUGCCCAGGCAUUGCAAUGCGGAUAGCUGGUUGUUACAGGCAAAUCACUAGAAGAGGGAUGACAGCCAAUAAAACAAAGCAGACAUAGCUGCA
rnacentral:lncRNA from 1 species